rnacentral:rRNA from 1 species
UACGUAGGUCCCGAGCGUUGUCCGGAUUUAUUGGGCGUAAAGCGAGCGCAGGUGGUUUAUUAAGUCUGGUGUAAAAGGCAGUGGCUCAACCAUUGUAUGCAUUGGAAACUGGUAGACUUGAGUGCAGGAGAGGAGAGUGGAAUUCCAUGUGCAGCGGUGAAAUGCGUAGAUAUAUGGAGGAACACCGGUGGCGAAAGCGGUUCUCUGGCCUGUAACUGACACUGAGGCUCGAAAGCGUGGGGAGCAAACAGG